AUGCUCGGGCUUCGGCACGUUGGUUUUUCUGACUCUGUGAUUGUCUUAAUUCCAGAAGUUGCGAAGCCAAAACACCUCAGCAGCUUUAGACCAAUAAGCCUAUGCAACGUCCUUUACAAGAUAGCUUCAAAAGUAUUGGCUAAUAGGCUGAAGAUUAUCUUGCCGGCAAUCAUCUCUGAGCAUCAAAGUGCUUUUGUUCCGGGAAGACUAAUCACCGACAAUGCCCUGAUUGCCUUCGAGCGUCUUCAUACAAUUCGACAACAAAGAUCGAAAAGACCAUACUUUGCCCUCAAGAUCGACAUGACUAAAGCAUAUGAUCGCGUGGAGUGGUCCUAUUUACAUGGAUGCCUUAGCAGAUUGGGUUUUGCGCCGGAGUGGAUUAGCACGGUGAUGAGAUGUGUGACCUCGGUUUGUUAUGAUGUCCGGGUCAACAGAGAGCUCACUAAUCUUGUAAUUCCUACAAGGGGUAUUCGACAGGGAGACCCAAUCAGCCCGUACCUGUUCCUUCUACGCACCGAAGGCUUGUCCAGUGUGCUUUUGCAUAAGGAGUCAUGUGAUGAGCUACAAGGUAUUCGAAAUGGUCGUCAAGGCCCUCCUAUUUCGCACCUCCUUUUUGCAGACGAUAGCAUCUUCUUUGCUAGAAGUGAUCAACGUAGUGUCCUCUCCUUGAAGGAAGCUUUGCAUUUAUAUUGUGAUGGUUCAGGCCAAAAAGUUAAUCUCCAAAAAUCAUCAAUCUUCUUUGGUACUCACUGCUCCGACGAUACUAAGCAAAAGGUAAUGGAAAUUUUGGGGGUCACAAAUGAAUCAUUCCAUGAUAAAUAUCUUGGAAUGCCUACUCAUGUGGGCAGGUCACCAACAAGGACAUUCAAAUUCCUAAAUGACAAAGUUUGGCAGCGCAUCAUUGGUUUGUUAGAUAGACCCCCUUCUCGAGCAGGAAAAGAAGUUUUGCUGAAAUUCGUGGUUCAGGCCAUUCCAACAUAUAUUAUGAGCUGUUUCCGAAUACCCAUUUCUACAUGUGAAGGGAUGAGACAAGCUGUUGCUGAUUAUUGGUGGGGUAGAGAAGAUGGUAAGAGGAAACUUCACUGGUGUUCACGGGAAUGGUUAUCCACACCAAAAAAGCUUGGUGGACUGGGUUUCCGUGAUUUUUUGCUCUUUAACCAAGCGAUGCUUGGUAGACAAUGUUGGAGCCUUCUUACUGAGCCAGAUUCUCUUUGUGAUCGGGUUCUCAAAGGACGCUAUUUUCCCCACUGUGAUUUUUGGGAUGCGCCUAAGCCGAGGUCAUCAUCCUAUACUUGGAGAAGUAUUCUCUAUGGCUGA
rnacentral:rRNA from 1 species